GGAUGUGAGGGCAAUCUGGCUGCGACAUCUGUCACCCCAUUGAUCAUCAGGGUUAAUUCGGCUGAUCUGGCUGGCUAGGUGGGUGUCCCCUUCCUCCCUCACCGCUCCAUGUGCGUCCCUUCUGAAGCUGCGCGCUCAGUAGAAGAGGACGACCUUCCCUGUUAGAGGAGAGGACAGUUCUUCGAUCAAGGGUAUAGGAGUAGCUGCGCUCCCCUGCUACAACUUCCAAACAAGCUUUCAAAGACAUUAGAUUAACACAAUGGAAUACAAAGCCAUAUAACCUUAACAAAAACUUACUGAGGACCUUCUGUG
ensembl:misc_RNA 7SK 7SK RNA